rnacentral:misc_RNA from 1 species
UACGGAGGGUGCGAGCGUUAAUCGGACUUACUGGGCCUAAAGCGCGCGUAGGCGGCGUGAUAAGGCGGUUGUGAAAGCCCCGGGCUCAACCUGGGAACGGCAUCAGUAACUGUCAGGCUAGAGUGCAGGAGAGGAAGGUAGAAUUCCCGGUGUAGCGGUGAAAUGUGUAGAGAUCGGGAGGAAUACCAGUGGCGAAGGCGGCCUUCUGGACUGACACUGACGCUGAGGUGCGAAAGCGUGGGUAGCAAACAGG